rnacentral:rRNA from 1 species
UUGGAGGGCAAGUCUGGUGCCAGCAGCCGCGGUAAUUCCAGCUCCAAUAGCGUAUAUUAAAGUUGUUGCAGUUAAAAAGCUCGUAGUUGAAUUUCGGGGUCAGUAGAUUGGUCGUGCCACUGGUAUGUACUGGUCUUACUGGCUCCUCCUUCCUGAUGAACCGUAAUGCCAUUAAUUUGGUGUUGCGGGGAGACUGGACUGUUACUUUGAAAAAAUUAGAGUGUUUAAAGCAGGCUAACGCUUGAAUACAUUAGCAUGGAAUAAUGAAAUAGGACGUUCGAUCUUAUUUUGUUGGUUUCUAAGAUUGACGUAAUGAUUAAUAGGGAUAGUUGGGGGCAUUAGUAUUCAAUUGUCAGAGGUGAAAUUCUUGGAUUUAUUGAAGACUAACUACUGCGAAAGCAUUUGCCAAGGAUGUUUUCAUUAAUCAAGAACGAAAGUUAGGGGAUCGAAGGCGAUCAGAUACCGUCGUAGUCUUAACCAUAAACUAUGCCGACUAGGGAUCGGAUGAUGUUAAUUUUUUAAUGACUCAUUCGGCGCCUUACGGGAAA